AUAGAAGGGUACAGACUGUAUCAAUCUCUUUUUCUUUUCACUACCACAGGACACGGAGAGAGGAAGACUAUUGAACAGUGACACAGCUUGAAAACACAGUGGUUUGGCUAAAGCUACCAUGAGCCAUAUUGCUUGAACAAAGAUUCAGACAAACCUGUGGGACUGCUCAAUAUAAGAAAGACAGUCUGGGAGGGAAAAAGCUGGUGUACUCACAUAAAAGGGAAAUACCAAAAUACAUUGGUAGGGAAGCUGCUAAAUUAAAAUAUGAAAUGCAACAACAACAACAACAACAACAAAGGUCAACCAAACAAAAAAGCAUCCAGACCCUCAUCAACCUAAUUCUAAUUAGAAGCAAAUGAAGAAUUAACUUCCAAUUGAAACAAAAGUUGGCUACAGUAUCACCAUCUUACCGUAACAGGAGCUCAAAAGGAUGUGAGAUAGCCAGGGUAAACAAACAAGGACACAAAAAUACAGUUCCUAAGAACUCAGUCUGUUCUUUCUCCUAUGGUUGAACAGCUGCACUCUGAAACUCCCCGAGUUAAGACCGGUAAGGCUUUCUUUUUUAUCUGUCAUCUUCCUGUAAUGCUAUCAGCUGUGGGUAAACUAGCAGAUUUGAA
rnacentral:lncRNA from 1 species